GAUGAAGAUUCUGCCAUUGUUCUUCCUCUCUUUAAGCCUUUUUAGGACACAACAAUCCAACAUCUCAUUUCACAGCAUAAAACCUGACCAAAGUAUGUGAAGUAUUAAAGAUGAACUUCUUAAGAGGAAAUUCAGUACACUUCUGAAAGAACUGAAAUACAAAAUCUCCAGGAGUCACAGUGCAGAACAUAGAAACAGAUCUUUACAACAACACUUUAACAUCAUCAUGAAAGACUCUUUCUAUAUAUGAAAGACUAAAUCAAGCAAAAAAGAUGAAACAUUUUCACUGGACUUUGUUCAUUCUGUCUGCAGUUCAAAUACUUCCUGUUUCUGACAUCUUCAAGUUAUUUGACAACAUGACAGCACACAUCAAACUCUGAUUUAUAACAGAUUAAAUUAUAUUCUGAUACUAAUUCAGUAAACUAGUUCGAGUAUUUAACUCGUGUUUAAAUCUGGUUUUGUGCAGUUUUAUUCCAGUGUGACACAAACUCCUCUGAAUCAGACCACUAACAUUAGAAACCUGUUCAGGGAAAUUUCUCUUAUAUUUCUAUUAUCACUUACCUGUGAGUGAGUAUCAGCUGUGAUCACUAAAGUUUUACAAUGUCUGAAUAAAUAUUCUGCCGUUUGAAGAGAGAAAAAGUUGAAAGACUUCCUGUUUUAAAAACAGUUUCACUUUUACCUUGUGAAGGUGAUGUCAUAGCUCCGCCCCUGUCUUCUCAUGAAUAUGUAACAGGUAUAAACUCAUUCCUAUUGGCUGUGUUGUGUGUGUCUGUAUUAAGUGUGAUCAUAUAAAACUGAUUUCACACAGGUGUGUUUUAAGUGUGUAAUUCAAAAAACAUCAUUGUCCAGACUCUGGAUCAAAUGUUCAUGUUUGUCUGACUCAUGAAGUUCACAGUAAUAAUUGAUUGAUUGUGUGAUUGUGUGUUUUUCCUCUUUCGGUCUCUAGGUUGACGCUGUGGUCAGUAAAGAGUUGACAGUCAAGAUCACAUUCCAGAAUCCACUGUUGAUCCAUAUAGAGCAGCGGUUCUCAACCUGUUUUGGAUGAACUCCCCCCUACUUCAUUCCCUGACCAUGGAACGAAUUUUACAGUUUUGUUAAUAAAUUAAGCUGGUUUACACAUCAUCAACAUGAAACCAAACCUUGAGUGUCUUGAAUUCAAGCAGAUGGAUGGAGGGCUCCAGACUAACAUUUAAUGCAGUGGCACCGGUGCAACCAAGUUCUGCAGUGUGUGCAUCAGCACCUGAUUUAAUAGCACCAGUGAAUUUAUUUUAUUUUAUUUUAUGUAAUUAAGGACAGAUACUAAUAAUAAAAGUAAUAUUAUUUUUAUUAACAUUAUUUUAUAUAUAAGUUCAGUUACCAAUAAUAUUGCAUAUUUUGUUACUAUGAAAUGCACAUUUGACAGUAAACAUUAAUUUUGAGUUGGGAUGCAGAUGUAACUGUUGUUAAUAUUAGUAAAUAUACAUCUAUAAACAGUUAAUAAUUUGAUAUACCUAAUUUAUAUUUGUCUAAAUGUAAAUAUUCUGAGUCUGACUAAGACUGUGAUUCCUACUGGUUAAGUACUCUCUUCACGUGAUUAAGUAAUCUCUUGGAAUUUCUGAAGGCAAACCAAACCAGUUACUUUUUCCUGCAAUAAAAGAGAAUUACAACAGAUUUGACACAGCAGGAAAACUCAUAGCUUGGUCCAUAAAAAUGAUGAAACAUUAUAUGGUUCUUCCACACAUAGUUCCUCCAUAAUACACUGAUAUUUGUAAUUAUAACACAAAAAUACAAUAAGAUCAUGUAUGGCUCAUUACAACCUGGUAACUCCUAUAAAACAAAUCAUGUUAUGUUUGUUAUGUAAAUACAUACAAAACUAUAGAUUUAGAAACUAUAAAUUCAAAAUAUAAACAUUUUGAAAUUGCCAUAGUUGUAACAGAAAUAAAUUGGCCUAUAUUCCCUCAUUCCCCUAAUGUAUUUAAUGGAGCUAUUUACAAAAUAUAAUUAGUAUGAAUAUGCCACAUUUCUGCAAAAUACAAAGAGAUGAAGAGAGAGAAAGAGAGAGAGAGAGAGAGAGAGAGAGAGCAGAUAUCAAUGCAGGGAAGUUGAAUGGAUUCUCAAGAAGAAUAUUAUUUUACUAAUUUGCUCUCAGCACCCCCUGGCAUCCUUUGAACGCCCCGUUGAGAAACCCUGAUAUAGAGGGAUUGGGAAUGAAUAUUCAGAUUGCGUGUCAGACAGAUUGAGUUUGGGUAAAAUGCUUCAUUUUACUUUGAAUAGUGUUUUAAUUUGAGGUGUGAUGUUUUCAUGCACUUUAGAUUUGGUCACUGUUAAACCGGUCAUUUUAAUCUUGUUGAGAGCUCUGCCAAAGGUAAAUUCACCACAUUUGCCAAGAAUUUUACUGAAAUAAAUGAAUCGAUAUUGCCAUAAUUUUGUUAUUUAUUAUAUAUAUCAUGUUAUAUAUCAUAUUUAUUUUAUUUGUAUUAUUUGAUAUUUUCUUUAUCACCAAUAUGAACAUUUUCAGUAAAUAAAAAUGACACUUUGUAUCAA